UUUCCCUCCACCAGGGGCUCCUUUCAUAGAUGGCUAAGUGAGGCACUGCCUAGUGGUACAGAGAGAGCUGGAGCCUGUGGAAAAUUCGCCAUUCCUUUGUAGCCAGAAAGCCCUCCUGUGGCCUCCUUUAGGACACACUGGCAGGCACUUCACUUAUGACAAACUGCCCAUCUGUAGCUCAAAGUGGCAAGGAAAAAGGUAGCUCCGUUGAGAGGACACACGGAUUCCUAUAGGUAGACUGCAUUGUGGGGGGAAUCAAGUCCUGCUAUGCGGUUAAUACAGAUUAGUAAAGCGCCCUGCCUCACACCACCGGUGAGACACUCUCCAGGACCUUGGCUGACAUGCAGCUUCUUGGAAGCCCCCUCCUUCAGUGUUCCUGGGGUCCUUUUACCUGUACCGUAUUAAUCGAAUAAUCUUAUUGUUCAUAAAAUCCACAGCGUGUGGGUGAGAAGAAUCGAUGCAGAAGCCAUCACUCAGAGCAAUUUUCAGCACCUCCUCCACGAAGACCUG
rnacentral:lncRNA from 1 species